UAGAUGGCAGGGCAAAGAUGGAGAUGUGAUUCCCAGGCCUUAGCAGCCAAGAAUGGAAGAGGCCGGACCCCGGUUCAGGGUUUGAUACAUGCCAUAGACGUUCUGGAGAGGGGAAGCACCAGCCGGUGGGUCUCGGAGAGAGGGAUGAAUCAAUCCUGCCCUGCCUGUUCUGAGGCCCAGACAAGGAGGCGGUGAAAAGACCCUGUCUUCUGCGAAGGGCUCUGCAUUCAUUCCCCUACUGCUGUUAGAGCUGUUCUGCCCCUGGGGAGGAGCGCAGACCUUGAAGUAGAAGGUUAUUCUUCUCAACUAAGUCCCGGCUCCAGGAGGGAAGGAGGUGGAAACCUACUCGGGACUCUAGAGAGCAAACCCCCUCAGAAGCAGCCCAGGUUUGACAGGUUUGGGAGGCCUGGCUGAGGAAAGCCCGAGGCCCAGGCUUCCCGGACCCCCUCUGAGAAGGCUCUGGAUGUGGGGGUUUGGAGCCCCUGUCUGCUCCCUGAGAUGUGGCAGGGCCCCUGGCAGGAGCCGUGGCAAACACUGGAGACAAUCUGGCUGCUCAUAAUAGGCGAUGGAUAAAAACAUGAUGGU
rnacentral:lncRNA from 10 species